UCGCUCUCUUGCUUUGCUGUCGCCAGUCGAUCGGAUUAAUAUAACCUUGCUCCUUAAGUGACUGGAGCCAGUCACUGGGAUGACCUAACCUUACUUUUAGCCGACCGGAGCCAGUGUUUGAGAUGUCCUAACCUUACUUUUAGGCCGACUGGAGCCAGUGGUUGUACUAACCUGCAAUUUCUUCAAAUUGACAAAAAUGGCGUCUCAUGAUCUAAACUAGAAUUGUAAAUAUAAAACUUAAACAAAAUCUCUCAUUCGGGUUUUUGGUCCCGGUCCUGGUUUCUCUGCUCGUUCUGUGGUCGGCUGCGCUUCUUGCAAGGGUGCUCCCGGUUACAACUGUCAACAUUUGUGCUUCCUUAAGAUCGUUCUUUGUAGAUGCGCUGCGACUGCACUGCAUACGAGAAAGGUUGCGCGAGGUUAUGCAAUGCUUAUCGGAUCUUCACGGAUACUAAAAUACAAAGUAAGCUGCAACGAGUGUAAUGCGAACUCAGUAAUGCAGUAAAUAAUACAUAGCGUUAUAUAAUUAUCGAAGAAAUAAAAAAUGACAUAUUUAUUAUAUUU